UACGUAGGUGGCAAGCGUUGUUCGGAAUUAUUGGGCGUAAAGCGCGCGCAGGCGGUUUCUUAAGUCUGAUGUGAAAUCUCGUGGCUCAACCACGAGCGGCCAUUGGAAACUGGGAAACUUGAGUGCAGAAGAGAAGAGCGGAAUUCCACGUGUAGCGGUGAAAUGCGUAGAGAUGUGGAGGAACACCAGUGGCGAAGGCGGCUCUUUGGUCUGUAACUGACGCUGAGGCGCGAAAGCGUGGGGAGCAAACAGG
rnacentral:rRNA from 1 species